UUUUGACUGUGCAAAGGUAGCAUAAUAAUUAGUUUUUUAAUUGAAAACUGGUAUGAAUGGUUGAACAAGGAAGAUUCUGUCUCUAUUUUAUUUUUAUUAGAAAUUUAUUUUUAAGUAAAAAAGCUUAGAUAUAUUUAAAAGACGAGAAGACCCUAUAGAGUUUUAUAUAAUUUAUAUAUUAAGAUAUAAAGUAUUAAGUUUUUAUUAUAUAAAUUAUAUUUAGUUGGGGUGACUUAAAAAUUUAAUUAACUUUUUAUUUAUUUAAACAUAUAUUUAUGAGUAAUUGAUCCAUUGUUUAUGAUAAAAGAU
rnacentral:rRNA from 1 species